GUCCACGCCCUAACGAUGUCAACUGGUUGUUGGACGGCUUGCUGUUCAGUAACGAAGCUAACGCGUGAAGUUGACCGCCUGGGGAGUACGGCCGCAAGGUUGAACUCAAGGAAUUGACGGGGACCCGCACAAGCGGUGGAUGAUGUGGUUUAAUUCGAUGCAACGCGAAACCUUAACCUACCCUUGACAUGUCAAGAAUCUUGCAGAGAUGUGAGAGUGCUCGAAAGAGAACUUGAACACAGGUGCUGCAUGGCCGUCGU
rnacentral:rRNA from 1 species